rnacentral:lncRNA from 1 species
GCAGAGGGGACAAUGAGAGAAGAAAAUUAAGAAACAUAGAAAGUUACAUUCUACAUUACUCUUUUAAAUAAAAUUUUCAUUUUCUUUAAAGAACUAUGGUGGUUAUUAAUAAUAGUCAACAUUUUUUUGUUAACUUUAAUCUUUUCUCAUAGACCAGUUGCUAUGCUGCUCCUGUUCUGCCGUCUACCAGUCGUUCCCUAUCCCAUUCCCACUCCUUCAUCUCCAAGACGAUAUCCCCACACCCCCACACCCCCCCACACCCCACUAAGCCUCCCCUCUUCCUGGGACUCCAAGUCUUUCAAGGGCUACAUGUGUCUUCUCUCACUGAGGCCAGGCCAGGCAGUCCUCUGUUGUAUAUGUGUUAUGGCCUCAUAUCAGCUAGUGUAUGCUGCCUGAUUGGUGGCUCAAUAUGUGAGAGAUCUCAGUGGUUCAGAUUUGUUGAGAUUGCUGGUUUUCACAUGGGAUAAAUGUCUUCUUCCACCUCUUCCAGUUUUUCCUCCAAUUCAACCCCAGGGGUCCCAGGCCUCAGACUAUUGGUUGGGUGUAAAUAUCUGCCUCAGUCUCAGUCAGCUGCUUGUUUGGCCUCUUGGAGGGCAGCCAUGCCAGGCUCCUUAAGAAUCAUGGCCUCAGGCAUGCCUAUCAGAAUAUUGUACAGACAAAAAUCAUUGAUAUGGAAAGACUUAUGUUUUUAAAAAAUGAUUUAUUUUUAUUUUAUGUGUAUAAAUGUUUUGAAGGCAUGUACACAAGUUCACUGUAUGUAUAUCUGCUGCCUGAAAAGGUCAAAAGACAUUACUGUAUCCCAUCACUGGCACACAUUAUAUUGGAGUUACAGAUGGUUGUGCACUACAAUUUCGAUGCUGGAAAAUAAAUCUUGGUCCUCUGUAAGAGCAGCAAGUGGUUUUAACUCUCUGGCCUGGAGAGUUGCAUCUUAAUUGUGAGUUAGAUCAUUGCCUUGUCAGCAUAUAUUGCAUAUAAGACCUACUUGGUGCCACAACAGAAGAACUGAGUUUCCUUCUCAUCACCUACCUCAUAUGUAUGCAUUCAUUAUAUAUUUGUAUAUUCUGUAUACAUGUGUGUAUAUGUUUGUAUGUUUUGAUUAUAUAUGUUUGAUAGAAAGUUUGAAUUAUUUUCUGAUGUAGAUAGCACAUUUUCCCCCAAAAUAAUUUUUCUAAUAAACAUACUAGUGUAAGGAAAUGUAAAAUUAAAUUUAUUGCCUCAAGAUUCUGAAACUGUUGCUGUCAAUUAGAAUUUUAGAUCAUUCUUCACUCUGAGAUUAUUUCAAAUGGAUAGAAAGUAAAGAGCUAUAAUUCCCUAAAUGAAGGAAAUGUACAAUAAUCUGUCUGUUUUGUGUGUCUUGUUAAUUUAAUUAUAGUAUAGUUACUCUUCACAACUCUAUAAUGAUGCCCUUUAGGCCAGUUUGGAUUCUGUAACAAUAUUCAUUGAUCUUGGUAACUUACAGACAAUUAACACUUGCUGUCUGCAUUUCUGGGAUACUAGAAAGUCCAAUAUCAAGUUGAUAGCAAAUUCAUUAUCUGCUGAAAUACAUUCCUUAGUGUGAUGAAAUACCAUACAUUCUCUUAGUGUGAUGAAAUACCAUGACAAGAGGCAAUGUUAGCAACUUACACUUCCAGAAGUGUCUAGAUAUGCAUAAGAGUAGACUAGGCAUGAAAGCAGGAGGAAGUAGCUGAGAAAUCACAUUUCAAGUGCUCAUAAAAAGAAGACAGUAAACAGGAAAUAUGGUCACGCUAUAAAGCCUCAAAUCUACCCACCACGAAGAACUUCCUUUAGCAAUGCCAAACUUCCUAAAGGUUCUAUAACCUCUCCAAAUAGAGCCACCAACUGAGGAUCAAGUACAUGAAACUAUUUGGUAUAUUUCUCAUUUGGUAAUUCCUCAUAGAAUGUCCCUAGUAUUUAACAUUAUAUAGAGAAAUUGAUGCACAUAUGUUUUUGAGCUUCUUAUUUCCAUUGGUGAUGGCAAUACUUGCAUUAUAUAUUUACCCACCUCAAAAAACCAACUCCUAAAUAACACCUUUGACAUUAAAAGGCAAACUGAAUUCAUAGUGAAAGAAAACUUCAAAACACAGUACAAAGUCAUUUAGGCUUGUUUAGGCUACUUGAAAGAAAAAAGAAACUAAGAAUUAAUUGACCAAUUGGAUGUUUAUUCAAGCAAAAGACUUGGUGCAAUUCCCUUUAUACAGCAUAGCAGGAUAAAAUAUCAACUGAAGAUAGAAAGUACUAUCAGGUUUUUUUCCAGAUAAAAAUGACACCAAAGGAAGUAACUUUGCUUGAGGGAGCUUGCUGACAACCCAUGAAAUGUGUAAAAUAUGUGAAACUCGAUAUUUCAUAAGGGAGAUGUGCUAUUUUGCUUUAAGAAACCAUCUGGAGAAUUGUGGGUGAAACUUAGUAGCACCCUUGCCAAACUCACACAAUACCCUAGGAUCCAUGUACUC